rnacentral:rRNA from 1 species
UACGUAGGGUGCGAGCGUUAAUCGGAAUUACUGGGCGUAAAGCGUGCGCAGGCGGUUUUGUAAGGCAGAUGUGAAAUCCCCGGGCUCAACCUGGGAAUGGCAUUUGGGACUGCAAGGCUGGAGUUUGGCAGAGGAGACUGGAAUUCCCGGUGUAGCAGUGAAAUGCGUAGAUAUCGGGAGGAAUACCGAUGGCGAAGGCAGGUCUCUGGGCUAUAACUGACGCUGAGGAGCGAAAGCGUGGGGAGCGAACAGG